CCGCAUGUCGCUUGCGUUGGUGUCCAUCUUAGGAUGGAUGAAAAGGGAAUGCGUCAGCGGGUGACCGUCAAACGCAGCCGCCCCCGCGACCGUGACCGGAGAGGGUGCCCAAAUGCCACUGGCCCGAAAGGCCGGGAAGGCGGGACAUCUGCCGGGGCAAACGCCUCGACAUCCGCAAGCCGGGAGACCUGCCAGCGCCCGAAGUUGAAA
rnacentral:ncRNA from 2 species